GCGGAAACUUUAAAAUUGAAACCGCCGUGGGUUGACCAAGGCGGACGCUCUGGUUUUGGCGGCUGUGUUUUCGUGUGCAGUGGUGUCGUUUACUGAAAACUGGGCGCUGGGUCUCGUUGAGAAGCUGAGCGAAAGAUAUCCCUUCACACUGUCCAAGAGCCCCAUGUAUACAGUGGGAGCCCCUCACACGUGGCCUUACAUCGAGGCUGCCUUGGUGUGACUGCAUCAAGAUUCAUACUGCCAUGAAAGAAAGCUCACCUUUAUUUGAUGAUGGGCAGCUCUGGGGAGAAGAAACUGAAGAUGGAAUUAAACACAAUAAGAAUGCUUCUUGGUGAAAAUAACUAAUACGUUCUCUCAAGAACCGUCUGAUGUCAUUGAGGAAACUGAAAGCUUCAUUACAAGCAAAUGUUCAAAACUAUAAAGCUGAACAGCAACAGAUGUGGAAUGAGGAAUUGAAAUAUGCCAGAGGCAAAGAGGCGAUUGAAGCGCAGCUAGCCAAGUACCACAAGUUGGCUAGAAAAUUAAAGCUUAUCCCCAAAGGUGCUGAGAAUUCCAAAGGUUACGACUUUGAAAUUAAGUUUAAUCCUGAGGCACCUCUCAAAGAACUCUUGAAUGAAAGCGAAGAAAAAAAUUAACAAAGCUCUGAAUAAAAAGAGGGCUCUGGAGGAUACUUUAGAACAAGUUUUAUCCAAGCUGAACACCAUGAAAAUGGAAAGCAAGAAUACUGUGAAGAUGCUGAAGGAAGAGAUUCAAAAGCUGGAUGACCUUUACCAACAAACAGUGAAGAUAACCAGUUAACUGUGCAGACCACAACUGAAGAAAGAAGAAAGGUGGGAAACAACUUACAACGUCUUUUGGAGAUGGUCGCCACACAUGUAGGGUCUUUGGAGAAACAUCUUGAAGAGGAAAAUGCUAAAGCCGACAGAGAGUACGAAGAAUUCAUGUCUGAAGAUCUGGAAAACAUCAGAGAGAUCGAAGAGAAGUAUAAGAGAAAUGCUGCCCAACUUAAGGCUCCCGACAAAUGAAGAUAAUCUUUCAUAGACAUAACAUAGUAUUUUAUCCCCAAAUUAUGAUAACAUGGUAAAUUGACCUUUUGGACAUAUCAGACAGUUAAUAAAGUGUACUAGUAAAGUGUGGGAACAACCAGGACCAGCCAGAAUGCCUUGAGAAGUUCUCUGCCACCCCUCUUAGUGAAGUGAAGAUCAUCCAAGAUGUAAGACCAAUGAAGUGUUGCAAGGCUAGCUAUGCAAGGGCCUGGUCACUGUCCACUGAAUAUUCUUUAUACUCUCUCCAAACAUCACGUGUCCUCCCACAGGUUGUGUCUCGGCAAAACAUAAGUCUGCCUCGGCAAAAAACAAGAAUCUGCAUCAAAU
rnacentral:lncRNA from 1 species